UUUGAGCCGUCAGGAGAGUGCAGGCUUGUAAAAGACUGCCACCGAAGGCGCAGGAAAUUUUUAUAUUUCUGAACGCUCAGGUACCCAGGACUGACAAACGUUG
rnacentral:ncRNA from 2 species